AGGUUGCAGUGAGCCGAGAUCACACCAUUGCACUCCAGCCUGGGCAAGAAGAGCGAAUCUCCGUCUCAAAAAAAAAGAAAAAAAUUUCUAGAAGAAUGUUGCUAUGAAACAGACCAAACAUAUUGUUAUGAAUUUAAAGGACUUACUGAACCAGUUUAAAAUAAGACUUCAAAGCAGAAGAAAUGAUGAGGCAAUAGAAGGAAGUUUAAAAUAA
rnacentral:lncRNA from 1 species